rnacentral:rRNA from 1 species
GCACGGGUGAGUAACACGUAUCCAACCUGCCGAUGACUCGGGGAUAGCCUUUCGAAAGAAAGAUUAAUACCCGAUGGCAUAGUUCUUCCGCAUGGUGGAACUAUUAAAGAAUUUCGGUCAUCGAUGGGGAUGCGUUCCAUUAGGUUGUUGGCGGGGUAACGGCCCACCAAGCCUUCGAUGGAUAGGGGUUCUGAGAGGAAGGUCCCCCACAUUGGAACUGAGACACGGUCCAAACUCCUACGGGAGGCAGCAGUGAGGAAUAUUGGUCAAUGGACGAGAGUCUGAACCAGCCAAGUAGCGUGAAGGAUGACUGCCCUAUGGGUUGUAAACUUCUUUUAUACGGGAAUAAAGUGAGGCACGCGUGCCUUUUUGUAUGUACCGUAUGAAUAAGGAUCGGCUAACUCCGUGCCAGCAGCCGCGGUAAUACGGAGGAUCCGAGCGUUAUCCGGAUUUAUUGGGUUUAAAGGGAGCGUAGGCGGACGCUUAAGUCAGUUGUGAAAGUUUGCGGCUCAACCGUAAAAUUGCAGUUGAUACUGGGUGUCUUGAGUACAGUAGAGGCAGGCGGAAUUCGUGGUGUAGCGGUGAAAUGCUUAGAUAUCACGAAGAACUCCGAUUGCGAAGGCAGCUUGCUGGACUGUAACUGACGCUGAUGCUCGAAAGUGUGGGUAUCAAACAGGAUUAGAUACCCUGGUAGUCCACACAGUAAACGAUGAAUACUCGCUGUUUGCGAUAUACAGUAAGCGGCCAAGCGAAAGCGUUAAGUAUUCCACCUGGGGAGUAC